rnacentral:rRNA from 1 species
AUUGAACGCUAGCGGCAUGCCUUACACAUGCAAGUCGAACGGCAGCACGGGGGCAACCCUGGUGGCGAGUGGCGAACGGGUGAGUAAUGCAUCGGAACGUGCCCAUCGAUGGGGGAUAACCGCGCGAAAGCGUUGCUAAUACCGCAUACGACCUACGGGUGAAAGCAGGGGACCGCAAGGCCUUGCGUCGAUGGAGCGGCCGAUGCCGGAUUAGCUAGUUGGUGAGGUAAAGGCUCACCAAGGCGACGAUCCCGUAGCUGGUCUGAGAGGACGACCAGCCACACUGGGACUGAGACACGGCCCAGACUCCUACGGGAGGCAGCAGUGGGGAAUCUUGGACAAUGGGCGCAAGCCUGAUCCAGCAAUGCCGCGUGUGGGAAGAAGGCCUUCGGGUUGUAAACCACUUUUGGCAGGGACGAUGAUGACGGUACCUGCAGAAUAAGCCCCGGCUAACUUCGUG